rnacentral:rRNA from 1 species
GACGAACGCUGGCGGCGUGCUUAACACAUGCAAGUCGAGCGGUAAGGCCCUUUCGGGGGUACACGAGCGGCGAACGGGUGAGUAACACGUGGGUGACCUGCCCUCAGCUCUGGGAUAAGCCUGGGAAACCGGGUCUAAUACUGGAUAUGACUCCAUGACGCAUGUUGUGGGGUGGAAAGCCUUGUGCGGCUGAGGAUGGGCCCGCGGCCUAUCAGCUUGUUGGUGGGGUGAUGGCCUACCAAGGCGACGACGGGUAGCCGGCCUGAGAGGGCGACCGGCCACACUGGGACUGAGACACGGCCCAGACUCCUACGGGAGGCAGCAGUGGGGAAUCUUGCGC